AUUGAACGCUGGCGGAAUGCUUUACACAUGCAAGUCGAACGGCAGCACGGGUGCUUGCACCUGGUGGCGAGUGGCGAACGGGUGAGUAAUGCGUCGGAACGUACCGAGUAAUGGGGGAUAACGCAGCGAAAGUUGUGCUAAUACCGCAUACGCCCUGAGGGGGAAAGUGGGGGACCGCAAGGCCUCACGUUAUUCGAGCGGCCGACGUCUGAUUAGCUAGUUGGUGGGGUAAAGGCCUACCAAGGCGACGAUCAGUAGCGGGUCUGAGAGGAUGAUCCGCCACACUGGGACUGAGACACGGCCCAGACUCCUACGGGAGGCAGCAGUGGGGAAUUUUGGACAAUGGGCGCAAGCCUGAUCCAGCCAUUCCGCGUGAGUGAAGAAGGCCUUCGGGUUGUAAAGCUCUUUCGGCAGGAACGAAACGGCGGGCUCUAACAUAGCCUGUUACUGACGGUACCUGCAGAAGAAGCACCGGCUAACUACGUGCCAGCAGCCGCGGUAAUACGUAGGGUGCGAGCGUUAAUCGGAAUUACUGGGCGUAAAGCGUGCGCAGGCGGAUUGUUAAGCAAGACGUGAAAUCCCCGGGCUUAACCUGGGAAUGGCGUUUUGAACUGGCAGUCUAGAGUGCGUCAGAGGGGGGUGGAAUUCCACGUGUAGCAGUGAAAUGCGUAGAGAUGUGGAGGAACACCGAUGGCGAAGGCAGCCCCCUGGGAUGACACUGACGCUCAUGUACUAAAGCGUGGGUAGCAAACAGGAUUAGAUACCCUGGUAGUCCACGCCCUAAACGAUGUCAACUGGUUGUUGGGGGAGUGAAAUCCCUUAGUAACGAAGCUAACGCGUGAA
rnacentral:rRNA from 1 species